UACGUAGGGUGCGAGCGUUAAUCGGAAUUACUGGGCGUAAAGCGUGCGCAGGCGGAUUUGUAAGUCAGGUGUGAAAUCCCCGGGCUCAACCUGGGAAUGGCAUUUGGGACUGCAAGGCUGGAGUGCGGCAGAGGAGACUGGAAUUCCUGGUGUAGCGGUGAAAUGCGCAGAUAUCAGGAGGAACACCGGUGGCGAAGGCGGGUCUCUGGGCCGAUACUGACGCUGAGGAGCGAAAGCGUGGGGAGCAAACAGG
rnacentral:rRNA from 1 species